rnacentral:ncRNA from 1 species
CCAUAGGGGUGCCCGCUAGCGGGCUGAGAAAAGCGCAUGGGCGCUUUACCCUUGGAACCUGAUCUGGUUAGUACCAGCGGAGGGAAUGGGUUUU